rnacentral:lncRNA from 1 species
UAAAAGUCAAAAUUGUUCAAAUGCUAUAAUGCAUUGAAUAUAAAAUAUAUUAUUUUUUAAAGGGGUUUUAUUUAAAUAGCUUACCAUUGUUCACUUUCUGCAAAAUAAUUAGUUAAGGUAUAUAGCAUACUGUAAAUCCUGAAAUUAUUGCCAGCUUUUAAUAACUUGAAUUAUGCAAUUUGGUCAGUGUUGCAAUAAUAAAAACUCAAAUUUUGGAUAACUACUUCAUAUACCAGUUUUUCCCGAAGUCACAAUAAUUAAUCUCACAUUAAUGUUCAUUCUUCAAAAAUAGCAACAACAAAAAAAGGCAUGCAAUAAUUUCUGAGUUUACAGUAUUAGUGUCAGCUGCCAUUCAAAACAAAGCAACCUUCUUUAAUGUAGUUCAUAUCUGACAGUAAAUCAACUGAAACAUAUUGUAGUACCAACUUUUGUCCAAACUAGUUACUGUAAAUGCAGUUAUCAGUAAAACUGUUGAACAAAGCUAAAUUAAUUAUUGUCAUUUCUGGAAUAUUAGAUUUGAAAUGUGAAUUUUCAAUUUUUGCUAUUAAAACAAACCUAUUCCACCCUAAAAUCAACAGUAAUAAAACAUUGUAAAAGUUUACGGUACUUCUAGGAUAAAAGUUUUUGAUGCUGUCCCAUUAAUGUAUAAGCCUGCCUCUUUCAUAAUUAUGGAAGAAGCAGUGCAUCUACUCAGACAGGUUAAACUUAAUUGUUUAUCAUCAUAACUUUACACAAUUACCAUUUUAUAUAUUAGCAUGAUUUAUCAUAUUUUAUACUUAUAAAACAUAGUCUAUCACAAGGAUAUGUUUGAUACUCAUUAUAUAACAAUGUCAAGAGAGUCAAACUCUCGGUCACAGAUUUUCUGAAAUAACUAAAAGCAAUUUCAGGUAUAAUCUGCAUGAGUUGCAAGCUUGCUACAUUUACUGUAAAGCAACUUUUUAUUUUGAGCAAUUUAUUUCCACCACUGGGGGGAUUAGAAAAGUAACCUGAAUACAUGUCAAACUUUGAUCUUCUCAUAUAUGAAUACUCAACAGAGAUGGAAAUCGUGAAAUCAAACAAAAUAGGUCUAAACCUGAAUUUGUUUUAUAUCAAAUAUAGAGUUACAGAUUCCUGAAUGUUUAAAGCAUGUUAUCAAAAAAACAUUUAAAAAAAGUUAAUGCAUUAAAGAUGUGCUAUGCAAUUGAAUGUUAUGUUCUUUACCAAAUGGUUUGAAUAACAUUAAAUGUCUUUAUACAGAUUAAAAAUCAGAUAAAGUUUAGAAACAAUAUGAAGGAAGUAAUAAACAUAAGCCUAUCUUUUGAAUCAUAUACCAAUGUUUUAAAAAUGUCAUUUUGAUAUUACAUAAAAAAGAAAGUGACAGCUUUUUCUGGUCUGUCUAAUACUUCUUAUUUUUUUCAUAUUCAUUGAGAGAAAGUACAGGCAGCAUGGCAUUAUUCCAAUUCUAAAAAAAUAUCUGCAAAAAUAUGAAGCUCCAUGUCUGAAAUUGAAUUAAUUUCAUUUUCCUUGGGAAAUUGAAGAUACUCAGUAUUCAUCAAUAUAACUGAUAAUAGUAUGGUAGAAAUAUUUAUGUAUGCUAUUUUAUAUUUCACAUACUAAAUGCUAUUUUUUAAUGUUCUGAAGUUCUAAUAUAACCAUGUAAUAAAGGUUGUGAAACAUAAAUACUCUUAGUUAUAAGGUUAUACGACCGCAAAAAAAAAUUUGCGUCAUAUAAUGGUAUCAUGUCGUCUUCUGCGUCUUCGUUGUCUGUAGUUUCCAGACAAUAACUUUAGAUUUAGUGAAUGGAUCUCUAUAAAUUUUUACCAGAAGGUUUAAUACCACUAAAUGAAGGUUGGGAUUGAUUUUGGGGGUUAUGGUCCCAAUAGUUUAGGAAUUAGGGGCCAAAAAGGGGCCCAAAAUAAGCAUUUUUGUAGUUUUCAAACAAUAACUUGUGUUUAAGUUUAUGAAUCUCAUUGAAAUUUUACCACAAGUUUCACAAUCCAUGAAGGGAUGGUUAGUUAUGACUUUGGGGGAGUUAUGGCUCAAAAUGUUUUGGAAUUGGGGUCUAAAAAAGGCGAAAUUAAGGGCAAAAAAAUGUAAAAAAAACUAGGUUUUCCAGAAAAUAACUUUAGAUUUAGUGAAUGGAUCUCUAUAAAUGGGGGAAACUAGGUUUUUCUGGUCAAUGGACAAUUAAGACAAUUUAAAAGCAGUGUAAGGGAGGUAAUUCAGUUAACAUUCAAUGUUUGGUAUGUUCGGAUAUACCUCCCUUACACUACUUGUAAAUAAUGUAUAAGGAAAUGUCAGGUUUUGGACUUAUUGCAAAAAAGGGGGGUGAUAGUAGUUUUCAAAUUUUUUUUCUAAAUUUCUUAAAUUCCGAAUUUUUGAAAAGUUUGAGAAAGAAAUCUUUAGUGACACAAUAUUGCAUAAUAAAUUUGUAAGAUCUUGACAUUGGUUUUGUGUCACAAACUCAUAUUAUGUCAAGAAUUUGAUCACAAUCCAAAUUCAGAGCUGUACCAAGCUUGAUUGUUGUGUCCAUACUUGCCCCAACUGUUCAGGGUUCACCCUCUGCAGUCGUACAAAGCUGUGCCCUGCGGAGCACCUGGUUAAAACUUUGUCAUUGUUUUCAUUCAUCUGCAGACAACAUUAUUACUAUAUAAUUACAUUAGAUGUAUGUUACAUUAUGAUACGUUAUUCUGAUUAGCUAACUGCACAUCUCUGGUUAUUCCAUAAUUAACUUCAUUACACAAUAAAAUUUAUCAUACAUGAUGACACAAGGUCCCACAGUAAAGUGCACGGG